UACGUAGGUGGCAAGCGUUGUCCGGAAUUAUUGGGCGUAAAGCGCGCGCAGGCGGUCCUUUAAGUCUGAUGUGAAAGCCCACGGCUCAACCGUGGAGGGUCAUUGGAAACUGGGAGACUUGAGUGCAGAAGAGGAAAGUGGAAUUCCAGGUGUAGCGGUGAAAUGCGUAGAGAUAUGGAGGAACACCAGUGGCGAAGGCGACUUUCUGGUCUAUAACUGACACUGAGGCGCGAAAGCGUGGGGAGCAAACAGG
rnacentral:rRNA from 1 species